rnacentral:rRNA from 1 species
UACGUAGGGCGCAAGCGUUGUCCGGAAUUAUUGGGCGUAAAGAGCUCGUAGGCGGUUUGUCGCGUCUGCUGUGAAAUCCCGAGGCUCAACCUCGGGCUUGCAGUGGGUACGGGCAGACUAGAGUGCGGUAGGGGAGACUGGAAUUCCUGGUGUAGCGGUGGAAUGCGCAGAUAUCAGGAGGAACACCGAUGGCGAAGGCAGGUCUCUGGGCCGCAACUGACGCUUAGGAGCGAAAGCAUGGGGAGCGAACAGG